rnacentral:rRNA from 1 species
UACGAAGGGGGCUAGCGUUGUUCGGAAUUACUGGGCGUAAAGCGCACGUAGGCGGCCUUUUAAGUCAGGGGUGAAAUCCCGGGGCUCAACCUCGGAACUGCCUUUGAUACUGGAAGUCUUGAGUAUGGAAGAGGUAAGUGGAAUUGCGAGUGUAGAGGUGAAAUUCGUAGAUAUUCGCAGGAACACCAGUGGCGAAGGCGGCUUACUGGUCCAUUACUGACGCUGAGGUGCGAAAGCGUGGGGAGCAAACAGG